rnacentral:rRNA from 1 species
UAAUACGGAGGGUGCAAGCGUUAUCCGGAUUCACUGGGUUUAAAGGGUGCGUAGGCGGAUUAAUAAGUCAGAGGUGAAAGCCCGGAGCUCAACUUCGGAAUUGCCUCUGAAACUGUUGAUCUUGAGUUUGGUUGAUGUGGGCGGAAUAUGUCAUGUAGCGGUGAAAUGCGUAGAUAUGACAUAGAACACCAAUUGCGAAGGCAGCUCACUAAACCAAUACUGACGCUGAGGCACGAAAGCGUGGGGAGCGAACAGGAUUAGAUACCCUGGUAGUCCACGCCGUAAACUAUGAUUACUCGAUUUAUAUACUUUUGUAUGUGAGUCCAAGCGAAAGCGUUAAGUAAUCCACCUGGGAAGUACGGUCGCAAGACUG